rnacentral:rRNA from 1 species
GCGGGGAUGAGGUGUGGGUAGGGGUGAAAUGCCAAUCGAACCUGGAGAUAGCUGGUUCUCUCCGAAAUAGCUUUAGGGCUAGCCUCAAGGUAAGAGUCUUGGAGGUAGAGCACUGAUUGGACUAGGGCCCUACCGGUUACCGAAUUCAGUCAAACUCCGAAUGCCAAAGACUUAUCCUUGGGAGUCAGACUGCGAGUGAUAAGAUCCGUAGUCGAAAGGGAAACAGCCCAGACCGCCAGCUAAGGUCCCAAGUAUACGUUA